AACUUUCAGCAACGGAUCUCUUGGCUCUCGCAUCGAUGAAGAACGCAGCAA
rnacentral:rRNA from 1 species